GUGAGGAAGCAGGACGCGGAGGCGGAGGGAAGGACGCGCUGUUCGUCGAGCUGUGGAAGGCCUGCGCGGGGCUGCUGUCCUGCGUGCCGCCGCUCGGGCAGAAGGUCUACUACCUCCCGCAGGGCCACAUCGAGCAGGCAAGUUGUUAGAGGCGACGUGCCAGAUGGUCGGGCUCUUCGGUCAGCGAUCACGAUUCGCGAGCUGCCAGUAGACGGAGAAAGGAUCUGUUGAUCUCCACGACACCGAAAGACGAACGAACG